GAGGUGCCAAAGAUCUUAAGCGUGUCCGCUUCAGUCGGAAGCGGUUUAGUGAGAAAGAAGCAGAACAGUGGUGGGCAUUAAACAGGGCUAGAGUAUAUCAGCAGUACAAUAUUCCGAUGGUUGACAAAGCAAGUGUUGGCAUGGGAAGGGAAGGUUUAGCUCAUUGACCUACAAGAUUCAAGAUGUAAAUGAGUUGGCAGUUUUCACAUUCCAAGCUUCAAAAUUGAAGGAUUUUUUUUCUUCCCCUUUUUAAUUCAGCUUUUAAGCUUGUCAGAAAAAAGAGCUGAAUACCCCCAAUUUUGUUUUCACAGCAGGGAGGGUUGUAUUUCUUCUUCCCUUAAAGUCAAUUCUUUUUUUCUAUUCCCCUCCGUAAAUGCAUCCCUCCUUUUCUCUCUUUUUUCUGAGGCAAGUUGUGAAGUUGUUAGUCAUGUAAAUUCUUUGUAAGUAGGUUUACUGGUGUUAUAUUCAAAACUUUCUUGUAAAUUUGUAAUGUCAAUGCAUCUUCCAUGUUUCUUUUAA